GACCUCAUCCGCGUGGAGGACGUGCGCUAACACUGAGCUAAGCGCGCCGCGAUGCUUCGGCGCGAUUCACAGGCAUGAAAGCCCUCCUCCUCGUCGCACCGGGCAUGAAACCGUGACUUCUCGGAACUAACACAUACUCUGGCCGCCCCAUCCUACCCCUCCCCGCUCCCAUGCACAUUUCCGAAAAAGAGAGACACGUCUUGCUUGCCAUCCGCACCAUCGCGACGGGAAAGUAUUUCACGAAAACGCACGCCAAGAACAAGGUUCACGAAGCCUAUCCCGAGGUUUCUUUUGAUGAGUUUUGGACCGCUUUGAAAAGGCUGAAAUCAUCGUCGCCAGGCCUGGACAUGCGGAGCCGGGCGGGGAGGAUGUUUUUGAGAUCGAGCUACCGUAGGUUAGGUGGUGAUUGCUGGGGGCGACUUUCUCCGCCGUUCUGGCGUGACGCCACUCCAGAAAGCGGACAGGAGUGUGCGCGCUUCCUUCAGGGUCCGCGCUCUCCUUCCGUUUCAGGCCGAUCUAAACUUUUACGUAGUUGUGCAUGGGAGGAGUACGAAGGUAAAUUUCUCCAUGAAUCAAUCAUCCUUGAACAAUCAAACACCACAGGCCUUCGUGACCGUGAAUCGCCCUGCUGGAGGAAGGCCGUGCCACCCUUGCCAUGUGGACGGGCCACUCGUGGUGGGGUGAGCAACGCGAGCUUGUGGUGAAGGCCUGGCAGGCGUUUUCCGCGGCGCCGGUUUCCGCCAUGGAAGCGAAUGCGGAACGACGUUAGGGCUUUCGUCCUCCACCUUGGUGCCAUUACUCGCGAGCUGGGUCAUCGUCCUACCGUUGGGCUUGCCCGAUCCAUCCACGCCGUUGAGGAUGAGUUCGCCGGCGGACGGUUGGAGUACCAAAGAAUAGUCGUUUGGUUUCGCCGCCUUUUUCCCAGUCGAGGCGAAGCGUUUUCCCUCGGAUGGACCACGUCGCAUUGUAGCCACUGCUGGAAGUCAGGGUCUUGUCGGCAUUGAACGUCCAGGUGCGCGUGUCUGAACCGAGGCGGUACUUCCAGGGCUUCGCCAACAGUAUCUCGCGUGUGACGACGCUAUCCUUUGCCGCAUCCCCUACUCCGCCGGGGGAACCCGAAGCGGCGCCUACGACGAUGGGAGGUGGCACAGGCGCCGUCAGCGCAUCGCGGUAUUUGCGGAGCGCCGUGGCUUCAUCGAGUUUGCCUGCGCUUGUCAAAUGGGUCACGACCGCGUCCAGCGACUUGGCGAACGUCGUUUGCAAAGGCUGGAGGCGCUUGGCCCGAUCCAAAGCAAUGCGACCGGCCGAUGUCCGAUAUACCUCGCGGACUUGCUUGAGCGUGGCCGGAGUCUUGUAGUCGUCCGUCGCAGGCACUCCCUUUCCCUGCGCGAUCGCCUCCACCUCGGCCUUCAGCGCGAUCGCAUCAUCCAGCCGACCCGCCUUCUGCGCGGACUCCAGGGAGCGAUCCAGCGUCGCGGUGUAUUUCGCGUUGAGGUCCGCGAUGGCCGCAUCGAAGACCUGCUGAACGUCGCUCUUCACUCGCAAGUCAUACUGCGUCUUCAGCGCCGCGAACUCCGGUC
rnacentral:misc_RNA from 1 species